rnacentral:rRNA from 1 species
UCCUACGGGGGGCUGCAGUGGGGAAUAUUGCACAAUGGGGGAAACCCUGAUGCAGCCAUGCCGCGUGUGUGAAGAAGGCCUUCGGGUUGUAAAGCACUUUCAGUGGGGAGGAAGGGAUGAUGUCUAAUACGCAUUGUCAUUGACGUUACCCACAGAAGAAGCACCGGCUAACUCCGUGCCAGCAGCCGCGGUAAUACGGAGGGUGCAAGCGUUAAUCGGAAUAACUGGGCGUAAAGCGCACGCAGGCGGUUAGAUAAGUCAGAUGUGAAAUCCCCGGGCUCAACCUGGGAACUGCAUUUGAAACUGUCUGACUAGAGUCUUGUAGAGGGGGGUAGAAUUCCAGGUGUAGCGGUGAAAUGCGUAGAGAUCUGGAGGAAUACCGGUGGCGAAGGCGGCCCCCUGGACAAAGACUGACGCUCAGGUGCGAAAGCGUGGGGAGCAAACAGGAUUAGAUACCCCAGUAGUC